GAUGAAGAACGCAGUGAAAUGCGAUAAGUAAUGUGAAUUGCACAAUUCAGUGAAUCAUCGAAUCUUUGAACGCACCUUGCGCUCUUUGGUAUUCCGAAGAGCAUGCCUGUUUGAGUGUCAUGAAAAUAUCAACCUUGACUUGGGUUUUGUGCUCUAGUCUCGGCUUGGAAUUGGGUGCUUGCCGCUUUUACGAGCGGCUCACCUUAAAUGUAUUAGCUGGAUCUGUCUUUGAGACUUGGUUUGACUUGGCGUAAUAAGUAUUUCGCUAAGGACAUUCUUCGGAGUGGCCUCGUUUCUAGGACGCUUGUCCGCUUUCCAAUACAAGUUCCACCUCGUGGACAUGACUUUUUAUUAUCUGGCCUCAAAUCAGGUAGGACUACCCGCUGAACUUAAGCAUAUCAAUAAGCGGAGGA
rnacentral:misc_RNA from 1 species